rnacentral:rRNA from 1 species
CAUGCCGCGUGCAGGAAGACUGCCCUAUGGGUUGUAAACUGCUUUUACAGAGGAAGAACCACCCCCACGUGUGGGGGUUUGACGGUACUCUGCGAAUAAGGAUCGGCUAACUCCGUGCCAGCAGCCGCGGUAAUACGGAGGAUCCAAGCGUUAUCCGGAAUCAUUGGGUUUAAAGGGUCCGUAGGCGGGCAGUUAAGUCAGUGGUGAAAGUCUUCCGCUCAACGGGAGAACUGCCAUUGAUACUGAUUGUCUUGAGUUAUUAUGAAGUGGUUAGAAUGAGUAGUGUAGCGGUGAAAUGCAUAGAUAUUACUCAGAAUACCGAUUGCGAAGGCAGAUCACUAAUAAUAUACUGACGCUGAUGGACGAAAGCGUAGGUAGCGAACAGGAUUAGAUACCCUGGUAGUCUACGCCGUAAACGAUGGUUACUAGCUGUUCGGCCCAAUUGAGGGCUGAGUGGUUAAGCGAAAGUGAUAAGUAACCCACCUGGGGAGUACGUUCGCAAGAAUGAAACUCAAAGGAAUUGACGGGGGCCCGCACAAGCGGUGGAGCAUGUGGUUUAAUUCGAUGAUACGCGAGGAACCUUACCAGGGCUUAAAUGUAGUCUGACAGGUCUGGAAACAGACUUUUCUUCGGACAGAUUACAAGGUGCUGCAUGGUUGUCGUCAGCUCGUGCCGUGAGGUGUCAGGUUAAGUCCUAUAACGAGCGCAACCCCUGUGGUUAGUUGCCAGCGAGUAAUGUCGGGAACUCUAGCCAGACUGCCGGUGCAAAC